UACGUAGGGUGCGAGCGUUGUCCGGAAUUAUUGGGCGUAAAGAGCUCGUAGGCGGUGUGUCGCGUCGGUCGUGAAAACUUUCAGCUUAACUGGGAGCUUGCGGUCGAUACGGGCAUCACUGGAGUUCGGCAGGGGAGACUGGAAUUCCUGGGUGUAGCGGUGAAAUGCGCAGAUAUCAGGAGGAACACCGGUGGGCGAAGGCUGGAUCUCUGGGCCGAUUACUGA
rnacentral:rRNA from 1 species